AAGGAGCACGGGAGAGUCAGAACCUUGGCUCCACCUGUGGAGACACUAACGGAUGUGCUGGUGGGAAGGUGGCGACCCAUGCACGGAAGACCCUCCGUGCAGACACAGACUCGAGGACAGAGGUUGGACAUCUAGCAGGACACCUUGUUCGCUUCAGCGCCAUCCACGCAAACAUGCUCUUGCAGACAGCAGGCAGGACUGGCAUGGGGGUGGCAUGGUUCAUCACCCCCGAGCCUCCGGCAGAUGGAGAAGGCGUGAAUGUGUGAGGCGUCUUGCUGCUGGUGUUUCCUCUCCUGUGAGACCCACGGUGAUUGUGCAGAGGGUCGUCGUGAGAAGUGGACUUUUCUUCAUCUUCACGGAAAUCACAUUGGGUGAAUUAGAAGAAACCAAGGAUGGGUCCUCUGUCACUGCUCAUGGGGCCCAGGUUCAUGUCUGCAUCAGGAGGCACCACUGGCAGCCUCUCUCCUGCACCUCAUGCUUGGCCUCCGCAGUAUGCAGUGUGUACCCCUGGUCCCAGGACCACUCGAGCACCUGAGGUCCAGGACCUUGUUGCUAUUGCAGUUGAGACAGCAGGAGCUCGAGUAACCAAGAGAGGGAAAAACAGAGGAAAAACAAGUGUUCUGGGCGACCCACUUGCUCCUACACUGCAUCUCUAUUAAUUUGUGCAGAUGGGAUGUGUGUGAUCAUGGUGUUUGUGCACCUGCUGACAGAGCUGUGACAAGAGACAGACUCUGAGUUAUCACCCUACCCUCUCCUGUAGCCCUACAGACCUGAGCAGGCUAAGCCCACUGUGACCUGGGCUGGGAGGCCAGGCAUAGCUCAUAGGAAUAUGAACACACUAGCGCUUGUGCAAAACACUGGCUGCUCAUGCUAUGGGUGCACCAAAGGUCCCCAAUAGCAGGGGUCCCCAACCCUUUGAGGCACCAGGGACCAUUUUCCGGGGCCACAGUUUUUCCACAGAUAGAAGGGAAAAACAUCAGGAUGAUUUGAGCAUGUUGCAUUUAUUGAGCACUUUAUUUCUAUUAUUAUUGCUUUGCAGUAUGUAAUGUGAACUGGAUCCCCGGCAGGCAAUCUGCAGCGGGGUUCUGGGCCUGGUAGAGUCAACUGUUGAGCAGACCUGAGAGGAAGCAGAGCUCAGGAGGCAGUGGGAGUGACAGGGAGAAGACCGCAGACGGAGCCUUCCUUCCCUGCCCACCGUCUCCCUUCUCCUGUGCACCCAGGUCCCAGUGGGCCACAGAGAGGGAUGGCACAGGGGCUGGGCCACCUGCUUUCCAGGCGCAAAGCUCCGGCCUGAGCUCUGCUGCCCUCUCACUGCCUCAUUCCCCCACAUCCUCAGCUCCGUCCUCCAGAGGUAACUGUUUUACACUGGAGAAGGGGAACUGCAUGGUGCCUUCCCAGCUCCACACUGCAGUUAACCAAGGCCAUAUCCCUGGGCUGAACAUCACCAUGGGUGUGGAGAGGGGCUUCUUACCUAAAGCCCAGGGAUUCUUCCCCAGCUUGUGGCCUCAGAACAGCCACCGGCGGCAGCUCACACAUCUUACUUGGCCAGUUAUUUUCAGCAACGCCACAGUAUGUCUUCAGUUUGCUGCUCUUUCCAAUGGGGAGAGGCGGUGUGCACAGAAAGGUCAGAGUCUGGGAAACCUGAACCUCGACCACAGAGUUCCGCUUGUCAUGUGUUUCACCACUGGCCCCAAACGCUGUUGAUGAGGCCACACUGGGCUCUGGGAUGGAGUUGUUUAAAUAAGAGUAUUCAUCAAAAUAUUGGAAAUGAGUCCCGUUAGAGUUUCCAGCGCCAUCCUGCUGUCCUUAGACAUGUGCUAGUUAGUUACCUGACCUUCCACGACCAGCAGAUGAAGUCAUUCCUUUACCCGAUUCUGCAUGUCUUGUCUUCACUCUAAAGAUGUGUAGUUUUACUAUUUUCCUUGGUUUAAAAUAUUUUAGAGAAUCUAUGUUGCAGAGAAGUUAGAAGCCCCCUAAAACCACAGGAGGCCACCGCCCUUUGUUGUGUUAACCUUUCCAGGUUGGGGAGCUGCUCCACCAGCAGAUGCAAGCUCAGCCUUGGUUUAUUUUAAUUAGAAUUCAAAGCAGGAUUAUUGCAUUAGCCCUGGGAUUGGUUCUUUGUUUAAAUAUGCCCUAAAUGAUAAAACCCUCAGGGCCUUUCUUGAGGGCACAACCACCAAGGCUUUAAUGGAUAUUAUGUAACAGAGAAGUGACAGCUCAUGCGCAAAAUGGGGGACUUGGUGGGAAUUGGUUUAUCAAAUAUUUGGGGAGCUCAUGUGAAAUACAGCACUAUCUCUAGGACCUGAAAAGCAGGACCUCCACUCAUGCACCAGUCACAGACUGCUGCACGUACAGCGUUGGCCACUGCUGGGACGGGGCUGGGCUCGCUCUCUCUGUUUUGCACCAGGCUGGGGGAAUGAAGAGAGAUUUCCCGUCUCCAGGGCUGCAUGAGCACCGCCUUCAGCAGCUCUCUUCUCCGGCCCUUGCUCUCCAUCACAGCAGCAGAAGAGAUACAGCCGUGCGAUGACGAACACCCCUUGGGCACAGCGCGGAGCUCAGGGCCGUGGGCAUCAGGAGCAGUGGCUAUCACACAACCCUGCGGGCUGUCCGACACCCUAGACCUCGAGGAUGCCCGGCCCUCAUAUCAUCCCUCAGGGCACAUUCAGGCCCACGCCUGCCCCUCACCCCAGCACAGCGUGCCGCUAAGACCUGCUGCACCGCUCACAGCUGACUCUGAGCCUAGGUACAGUUACAGACGGCUGUGCAGAAGGCAGAAAGCUGCACCCAGAGGGCAGUAGGGGGUCUUCCGAGAUGGAUCAGACGUUCCUCAGGUGUGCAUGCACACUCGCCCCCUCAGGUGCACCCUCUCUCACUUCUGAUAUACAGCACUGGGAGUUCAGAUCCUCUCAGUGUUGCACAGGCUCAAGUGUAAUCUUAGUUCAGAUCACUCCUUUCUCCUGUCUCCUGUGUCCAACCACGUUGUCUUGGUUGUUUUUCUCAUUGCUGAAACAAAUUACCCAACACCCAAAGCUAAAGGAGGAAGGUUUAUUUGGCUCACAGUUUGGAGAGGUUCAUUCCUUAGUUAGCUGGCUUCAAGGCAGGGUAGCCUAGGGAGGAGAAACAGCUCAUGGCAGGUAGAAGGUAGUAAAGCAAGCAAGGGACCUGAGCAGCUUCUUUCUGCCCCUUUUAGACUCUAUCUAGGCUGCUGAGAUUAGGGUGAUGUCGAGGCAAUCAGUGCACUGGUUUCAUAGUCAUCUACCCCUAAUCCCAGCAUCACAUAGUAUAGAUUCAGCCACCUCUGUAAAAGCCCCAAGACUACAUGAGGCUUUGGGGGGACAUCUAGAUGCAAACGAUAACAUAUGUUGUGCAUUUGCAAUUUCAGGAAUUUAUAUCCACAUCGUGCGUGUUCAGUUUCUGUGCUGUCACUGGAGCCAAGCUACGUUUUAUUCUCCUGAAUAAAAGAUGGCAUUGUUUCUAGAAAGUAAGUCAUCGAUAUUUUGAAGUUCCAUUUUUGAAAUAAA
rnacentral:lncRNA from 1 species